rnacentral:rRNA from 1 species
GUCCACACCGUAAACGUUGGGCGCUAGGUGUGGGACUCAUUCCACGAGUUCCGUGCCGCAGCUAACGCAUUAAGCGCCCCGCCUGGGGAGUACGGCCGCAAGGCUAAAACUCAAAGGAAUUGACGGGGGCCCGCACAAGCGGCGGAGCAUGCGGAUUAAUUCGAUGCAACGCGAAGAACCUUACCUAGGUUUGACAUAUACGAGAACGCUGUAGAGAUACAGAACUCUUUGGACACUCGUAUACAGGUGGUGCAUGGCUGUCGU